rnacentral:rRNA from 1 species
UACAGAGGGUGCAAGCGUUAAUCGGAAUUACUGGGCGUAAAGCGCGUGUAGGCGGCAGGGCAAGUCGGAUGUGAAAGCCCACGGCUCAACCGUGGAAGUGCACCCGAAACUGCCCCGCUAGAGUCUCGGAGAGGAAGGUGGAAUGCUUGGUGUAGAGGUGAAAUUCGUAGAUAUCAAGCGGAACACCGGUGGCGAAGGCGGCCUUCUGGACGAUGACUGACGCUGAGACGCGAAAGCGUGGGGAGCAAACAGG